GAUGAACGCUGGCGGCGUGCCUAAUACAUGCAAGUCGAGCGAACGGACGAGAAGCUUGCUUCUCUGAUGUUAGCGGCGGACGGGUGAGUAACACGUGGAUCACCUACCUAUAGACUGGGAUAACUUCGGGAAACCGGAGCUAAUACCGGAUAAUAUUUUGCACCGCAUGGUUCUAAAGUGAAAUACGGGCUUGCUGUCACUUAUAGAUGGAUCCGCGCUUCAUUAGCUAGUUGGUAAGGUAACGGCUUACCAAGGCAACGAAGCAUAGCCGACCGGAGAGGGUGAUCGGCCACACUGGAACUGAGACAGGGUCCAGAACCCUACGGAAGGCAGCAGUAGGGAAUCGUCCGCAAUGGGCGAAAGCCUGACGGAGCAACGCCGCGUGAGGGAUGAAGGUCUUCGGAUCGUAAAACGCUGUUAUUAGGGAAGAACAUAUGUGUAAGUAACUGUGCACAUCGUGACGGUACCUAAUCAGAAAGCCACGGCUAACUACGUG
rnacentral:rRNA from 1 species